GGUGGACACCUUCAUUCGGGUCCCCUAUGCGCCACAGGCUGCCCCCGAUCAGACUGGGCUGUAUCAGAUACCCUGAUUGGCGUUGGGAGAGUAUAUAAGCGGCUCAGUGAGACGCUUCUUUUGAGAGAGUCUGGAGCUUGUGUGCAGACACCGGGAGCUGGAAAGCUGUGAACAGAGGAACUGUCCGAAACCCAAGGAAGCUGUGGUUCAGCGGGAACGAGUCUGUGAUAUUAUUUUGUUGAUGUUACGUUGAAGCGCGCAGUCGCUGUGAAAAGAGUAUUUUUAUUUGAUCUGUCUGAAUAAAGCACACAAGCUCCAGUA